CAACCCCGCAUCUUUAACGCUAGCGGGAGGCCUAACACAUGCAAGCCGAGCGGUAUUGUUUCUUCGGAAAUGAGAGAGCGGCGUACGGGUGCGGAACACGUGUGCAACCUGCCUUUAUCUGGGGGAUAGCCUUUCGAAAGGAAGAUUAAUACUCCAUAAUAUAUUGAACGGCAUCGUUUAAUAUUGAAAGCUCCGGCGGAUAGAGAUGGGCACGCGCAAGAUUAGCUAGUUGGUGAGGUAACGGCUCACCAAGGCGAUGAUCUUUAGGGGGCCUGAGAGGGUGAUCCCCCACACUGGUACUGAGACACGGACCAGACUCCUACGGGAGGCAGCAGUGAGGAAUAUUGGUCAAUGGGUGCAAGCCUGAACCAGCCAUCCCGCGUGAAGGACGACUGCCCUAUGGGUUGUAAACUUCUUUUGUAUAGGGAUAAACCUACCCUCGUGAGGGUAGCUGAAGGUACUAUACGAAUAAGCACCGGCUAACUCCGUGCCAGCAGCCGCGGUAAUACGGACGGUGCAAGCGUUAUCCGGAUUUAUUGGGUUUAAAGGGUCCGUAGGCGGACUUAUAAGUCAGUGGUGAAAGCCUGUCGCUUAACGAUAGAACUGCCAUUGAUACUGUAAGUCUUGAGUAUAUUUGAGGUAGCUGGAAUAAGUAGUGUAGCGGUGAAAUGCAUAGAUAUUACUUAGAACACCAAUUGCGAAGGCAGGUUACCAAGAUAUAACUGACGCUGAGGGACGAAAGCGUGGGGAGCGAACAGGAUUAGAUACCCUGGUAGUCCACGCCGUAAACGAUGCUAACUCGUUUUUGGGCUUUAGGGUUCAGAGACCAAGCGAAAGUGAUAAGUUAGCCACCUGGGGAGUACGCUCGCGAGAGU
rnacentral:rRNA from 1 species